rnacentral:rRNA from 1 species
GACGAACGCUGGCGGCGUGCCUAAUACAUGCAAGUAGAACGCUGAAGGAGGAGCUUGCUCUUCUGGAUGAGUUGCGAACGGGUGAGUAACGCGUAGGUAACCUGCCUGGUAGCGGGGGAUAACUAUUGGAAACGAUAGCUAAUACCGCAUAACAGUAGAUGUUGCAUGACAUUUACUUAAAAGGUGCAAUUGCAUCACUACCAGAUGGACCUGCGUUGUAUUAGCUAGUUGGUGGGGUAACGGCUCACCAAGGCGACGAUACAUAGCCGACCUGAGAGGGUGAUAGGCCACACUGGGACUGAGACACGGCCCAGACUCCUACGGGAGGCAGCAGUAGGGAAUCUUCGGCAAUGGACGGAAGUCUGACCGAGCAACGCCGCGUGAGUGAAGAAGGUGUUCGGAUCGUAAAGCUCUGUUGUAAGAGAAGAACGAGUGUGAGAGUGGAAAGUUCACACUGUGACGGUAUCUUACCAGAAAGGGACGGCUAACUACGUG